AUCUUUGGGCCUAUAUAUCUAGAAGUACCAGAUUCUGUAUGAUCUUGGAAGCUAAGCAGAGUCAGGCUUGAUCAAUACUUGGAUGGGAGAUCACCAGUAAAUACCAAGUAAUGUUUAUG
rnacentral:rRNA from 1 species